GAUCAUGGCUCAGGAUGAACGCUAGCUACAGGCUAACACAUGCAAGUCGAGGGGCAGCAUUGGGGUAGCAAUACUCAGAUGGCGACCGGCGCACGGGUGAGUAACACGUAUCCAACCUGCCGCUUACUCGGGGAUAGCCUUUCGAAAGAAAGAUUAAUACCCGAUGGUAUAAAGAGUUCGCAUGUUCUCUUUAUUAAAGAAUUUCGGUAAGCGAUGGGGAUGCGUUCCAUUAGAUAGUUGGCGGGGUAACGGCCCACCAAGUCUACGAUGGAUAGGGGUUCUGAGAGGAAGGUCCCCCACAUUGGAACUGAGACACGGUCCAAACUCCUACGGGAGGCAGCAGUGAGGAAUAUUGGUCAAUGGACGAGAGUCUGAACCAGCCAAGUAGCGUGAAGGAUGACUGCCCUAUGGGUUGUAAACUUCUUUUAUAAGGGAAUAAAGUGAGGGACGUGUCCCUUUUUGUAUGUACCUUAUGAAUAAGGAUCGGCUAACUCCGUGCCAGCAGCUGC
rnacentral:rRNA from 1 species